AUACGGAGGAUCCGAGCGUUAUCCGGAUUUAUUGGGUUUAAAGGGUGCGCAGGCGGGAGAUUAAGUCGGCGGUGAAAUUUUUCAGCUCAACUGUAAAAGGGCCUUCCAAACUGGUUUCCUUGAUUGUUGAUGAAUGAGGCGGAAUUUGUGGUGUAGAGGGGAAAUGCAUAGAUAUCACGAGGAACUCCGAUUGCGCAGGCAGCUUACUAAACUACUACUGACGCUCAGGCACGAAGGCGUGGGGAUCAAACAGGAUUAGAUACCCUGGUAGUCCACGCAGUAAACGAUGAUUACUAGCUGUUUGCGAUACAAUGUAAGCGGCUGAGCGAAAGCGUUAAGUAAUCCACCUGGGGAGUACGUUCGCAAGAAUGAAACUCAAAUGAAUUGGCGGGG
rnacentral:rRNA from 1 species